CCAGUGGCACUGCCGGGUAGCUAUGUUCGGAAGCGAUAACCGCUGAAAGCAUCUAAGCGGGAAGCGCGCCUCAAGAUGAGAUCUCCCGGGACACAAGUCCCCUAAAGGCACCAUGAAGACUACGUGGUUGAUAGGCGCGGUGUGAACAGGCAGCAAUGUCUUGAGCUAACGCGUACUAAUGCGCCGUGAGGCUUGAUCCU
rnacentral:ncRNA from 1 species